AAUAAUAAUAUAUGUAUAAAAUGAGGGAACUUCAUUGAGAACUGAUAACCAUACUUUCAUUUAGAUUUAAAAUGCUUUGUUGGAAUUAUCGUCUACAAUGGCGUCUUAAAAAUCAACUUUGUCAAUGUUUUUUCGUGUAGUUUGAAUGUACGUAUAGGCAAUUUACAAAAUGAUAUAAUCAGGUGCUUCCUUUAACGAAAAAAAAAAAAAAAAAAAAAAAAAAAGAAAAAUAAAGGAUGGUGGCUAACAUAUAAGAAAUGAAAAUACAUUAUCAAAAUUUUAAGAUAUUUUCUUUUAUUUGUACCUAUUUCAAUUGAAUUAUUUUCAUCGGAUAUUUCUUUAUAAGGUGAUCUCAUUUUUAUCUAGAAAAUAACUUUCUCUCUUUGGUAAGAAAAACUAUAGAUAAAACCACAAACGAAACUUCUAUCAUAUGUCAUGCUCUGAAUACUAUGCGUUGGUAUAUAUAAGAAAAUAUCUUUCAUAUGUUGUCUUUUUCUAUGGUUGAUAGUGCAUGUAUCGUCAGAAGAUAAUAAGUCAGAUAAAUCGUAUUACAAAAAAUAUGAAGAAGUUCCACGUGUAAAAAUAAAAGUAUUUCGUGGUCCAACGGAAGAAAGAAAUGGCGAAACAUUUGCUAAAUGGGGAUUUUGGAUAAAACAACCACGUAACUCAUCUGUACAUAUUGAUUAAUAAAUUAAAACUAAGUUACGUGGUGACAAUUUUGCAUUAAAUACUGGUCUUAUUAUAGGAUUUAAGUUUCUUUCUGAAAGAUAUAAAAAUCUAUCCAAAAGUACUAAUGUUUCUACCAAUGGUGCUAAUAAAAUUCUAAGCGAUGAAAAUAUAACUAUUUGUAACCAAUAA